rnacentral:rRNA from 1 species
GACGAACGCUGGCGGCGUGCCUAAUACAUGCAAGUAGAACGAGUUGCGAACGGGUGAGUAACGCGUGGUAACCUGCCUCAUAGCGGGGGAUAACUAUUGGAAACGAUAGCUAAUACCGCAUACUUUGAGAUGGACCUGCGUUGUAUUAGCUAGUUGGUGAGUUAAAGGCUCACAAAGGCGAUGCUCCAUAGCCGACCUGAGAGGGUGAUCGGCCACACUGGGAAUGAGACACGGCCCAGACUCCUACGGGAGGCAGCAGUGGGGAAUAUUGCACAAUGGGCGCAAGCCUGAUGCAGCCAUGCCGCGUGUAUGAAGAAGGCCUUCGGGUUGUAAAGUACUUUCCGCGGGGAGGCGUUACCCGCAGAAGAAGCACCGGCUAACUCCGUGCCAGCAGCCGCGGUAAUUC